rnacentral:rRNA from 1 species
UACGUAGGGUGCAAGCGUUGUCCGGAUUUAUUGGGCGUAAAGAGCGUGUAGGCGGCCAUGCAGGUCCGUUGUGAAAACUGGAGGCUUAACCUCCAGACGUCGAUGGAAACCGUAUGGCUAGAGUCCGGAAGAGGAGAGUGGAAUUCCUGGUGUAGCGGUGAAAUGCGCAGAUAUCAGGAAGAACACCCGUGGCGAAGGCGGCGCUCUGGGACGGUACUGACGCUGAGACGCGAAAGCGUGGGGAGCGAACAGG